AAGACAGACGGUCGCAGCUGCAAGCGCCGAAAGGCCGCAGGUGAGGAAAGUCCGGGCUUCGUAGGGCAGGAUGCCGGAUAACGUCCGGUGGAGGCGACUCCAAGGAUAGUGCAACAGAAAUGUACCGCGUUAGCAAUGAGCCAUGCAGAUUGUCGUAGCAGGCAAUUUGGUAAGUUUACUUACCGAAGUGCAUGUUUACGACAAUCUAUACGGCGAAUGCCGCGUAACGAGAAUUGCGUUGCAAUUCGAGUUACAAGCAUGGCUCAUAAAACAGUAAGAUUACGACAAUCUAUACGGCGAAUGCCGUGUAACGAGAAUUGCUAUGCAAUUCGAGUUGUCUGCAUGGCUCAUUGCUAACGUAAGGGUGGAAGGGCAGUGUAAGAGACUACCGCCUUGUUGGUAACAACAAGGGCAUAUGUAAACCCCAUCCGAAGCAAGACCGAAUGAAAACAAUGUGGCGGCCCGUCACGUUUUAGGUAGGUUGCUUGAACCUGCUGGUAACGGCAGGUCUAGAUAGAUGACCGUCCAAUGACAUAACCCGGCUUAUCGUCUUGCUUA
rnacentral:RNase_P_RNA from 1 species